rnacentral:rRNA from 1 species
UAAUAGGUAUGCUUUAGGAGGGGCUUGCGCCAUAUUAGUUAGUUGGUAGGGUAAUGGCCUACCAAGACGAUGAUGUGUAGCUGGACUGAGAGGUUGAACAGCCACAUUGGGACUGAGACACGGCCCAAACUCCUACGGGAGGCAGCAGUAGGGAAUUUUCGGCAAUGGAGGAAACUCUGACCGAGCAACGCCGCGUGAAUGACGAAGUACUUCGGUAUGUAAAGUUCUUUUAUCAAGGAAGAAAAGCAAAUGGCGAACCAUUUGUUUGCCGGUACUUGAUGAAUAAGCCCCGGCUAAUUAUGUGCCAGCAGCCGCGGUAAGACAUAAGGGGCAAGUGUUAUCCGGAAUUAUUGGGCGUAAAGGGUGCGUAGGCGGUCUAGUAAGUCAGUGGUGUAAUGGCAACGCUUAACGUUGUCCGGCUAUUGAAACUGCUAAACUUGAGUUAGAUAGAGGCGAGUGGAAUUCCAUGUGUAGCGGUAAAAUGCGUAAAUAUAUGGAGGAACACCAGAGGCGUAGGCGGCUCGCUGGGUCUUAACUGACGCUGAGGCACGAAAGCGUGGGGGAGCAAACAGGAUUAGAUACCCCUGGUAGUCCACGCCCGUAAACGAUGAGUACUAAGUGUCGGGUUAAACCGGUACUGAAGUUAACACAUUAAGUACUCCGCCUGAGUAGUACGUACGCAAGUAUGAAACUUAAAGGAAUUGACGGGACUCCGCACAAGCGGUGGAUCAUGUUGUUUAAUUCGAAGAUACCCGAAAAACCUUACCAGGUCUUGACAUGUUUUUGCAAAAUGAUAGUAAUAUCGUGGAGGUUACCAGAAACACAGGUGGUGCAUGGUUGUCGUCAGCUCGUGUCGUGAGAUGUUAGGUUAAGUCCUAAAACGAGCGAAACCCUUAUCGUUAGUUGCCAGCACGUUAUGGUGGGGACUUUAACGAGACUGCCAAUGAUAAAUUGGAGGAAGGUGAGGAUCACGUCAAAUCAGCAUGCCCCUUAUGACCUGGGCUACAAACGUGAUACAAUGGCUGUUACAAAGGGUAGCUGAAACGCAAGUUCUUGGCCAAUCCCCAAAAACAGUCCCAGUCCGGAUUGAAGUUUGCAACUCGACUUCAUGAAGUUGGAAUCGCUA